CGCAUGGCUCUAUCCUCGCCUCACGCGGGGAAACUUGGGAGUUGUGAGCGCGAGCAGCAAGUAGUUAGACGCACGCAGCCGUCUGAAUCCCUCCAGCCGGACUCCUGUCAUCACUACACCUCUACAAGUCCUUCACGACCGAAACAAACCGACUUUAACCACGAACCAUGGACGAGAAGCGCGUGGACACAGUUUCUGCCCGCGUGGACGCAGCCGCCGCCGUGUCUUCUCCCGUGAGCCAAAAAACGCGUCUCCUGGAUGAAACUACUUGGAGUGUGCUUGGCUGCAGUCCAGAAUAAUGAUAGCCUGCUUAUUUCUAUAGGAUUACUCCCCUGCAGUCUCUUAUUGCCACUUAAGGAGCAGGGAAAGGCGAGUUCCUUUGCUUUGGGUCUUUGUGUUUGUCCCUCUGAGACGCCGCGUGGGGACAUCUGUUGUGGACCAUCUGCCUCGGGACACAAGCCAGAAGAACCAGCAGCAGCAGUGAAAGAGAGAGAGAGGUGGAGCUGUUAAGAGUGCAGAGAAGGGACAAAUAAAAAAA
ensembl:lncRNA